rnacentral:rRNA from 1 species
UACGAAGGGUGCAAACGUUGCUCGGAAUUACUGGGCGUAAAGCGUGCGCAGGCGGUUUUGUAAGCCAGAUGUGAAAUCCCCGGGCUUAACCUGGGAAUGGCAUUUGGGACUGCAAGGCUCGAGUGCGGCAGAGGAGACUGGAAUUCCUGGUGUAGCAGUGAAAUGCGUAGAUAUCAGGAGGAACACCGAUGGCGAAGGCAGGUCUCUGGGCUGACACUGACGCUCAUGCACGAAAGCGUGGGGAGCAAACAGG